GGGAGCCCGGAGCCGGGGCUGCAGCGGGCAGGGAGGACGCGGGCGGCGGAGCGGCGGGAUGCGGCGGUGCCGGGCGGCGGCGCUGGCGGGGCUGGCCGCGGUGCUCCUGGCAGCUGUGGGCAGAGCCCAGGUGCAGCAGGACCCGUGGGCAGAGACCACCGAGGGCACCGGCAUCAGCAUCAACUGCUCACACCCCAAUAGACAGUUAAACGACUUCAUCCAUUGGUACCGUCAGGUCCCGGGCCGUGGCCCCGCAUUCCUCGUAAGCGCUCUUCAAGGCUCCAAAGUGCUGCUGGACCCGCCGGGGCGGCUCUCGGUGGCGGCAGAUCGCCGGUCCAACGUGCUGUGGCUCUCUGGGCCCCGGCUCCGGGACGCGGCGGUGUACUACUGCGCCCAGCAAGCACGGAGAGAGGAGCCGGGGCUGCGGCCGAGCAAAAACCGCCGCGGGCGGGGCCGGGCGUGUGUGUCGGGGGCGCGGACAGCGGCGCCCGGGCCCGCGAGGGGGCGCUGCUGCUCCGCCCGGCACCGCCAUCGGACCCGUCGAGGCCCCCCCUUUCGUGCCCCGCUGCAUCCCCCGCAAGCGGCUCCGGAGCCAGAGAGCCUGCACUGCUGCACGGCAGUGUUCAUCUGUCCUGGGGCAUCUGCGGGAGAGGCGUUGCUCCCAGGCGGCUGAGCAACAA